GCCAUCCAAAGCAGAGUAACUGUGCUUUGCGUCCAAGUUGAUACCUGUGGAGAGGAAAGGAAAGAGAGAUUGAUACCUGUGGAGAGAAAAGGAGAGAGAGUGGGUAACACGAGGAGAGACCGAGGAAACCUGUACUUACGCCGCUGCCUGUGGAGAAAGAGAAAGCGAGUGAGCACCCAAGGAACGAACUGUGUGAACCAGUACUUACUGUGAGCUGUAAUCAGCGAAGAGCCGUUGCCUGUGGAGGAAGAGAAAGAGAGUGAGCACCCCGAGAACGAACUGUGUGAACCAGUACUUACCGUGAGCUGUAUUCAGCGAAGAGGAGGAAGAAGGAGGGCGCUACGGAUACCUAAGACUCAGGCCGGGGCCCGAGUCCCACGCCCCGGAUCCCCGUGGCCCCCUUGCUCCCUGACCUCUUCCCGGCCAUAGCCCAUCUGGAGGGCCGAGUCAGAGUUUAGUUUUAAUUGCCCUUUUCCUAUUCCCCAAGCUAUUUUUAAAUAUUUAAAUAAAGAUUGUUUUAUCACUUACUUGUUCUCG
ensembl:lncRNA